GACGCGACCGGGCGGGGCGCCUGGGCCUGCGGCUUGGGCGCGGCCGCGGCAGCCGCGGCGGCCGCACGGCGGGCGUUCUCCUCUUCCUCGCGCCUC
rnacentral:tRNA from 1 species